UGUGAAACUUGUUUUAAAAUGCCACAAAUAUAGCUACGAGAUAACUCGUAGUGGCAAAAUGGGCCGGACAUUGAUACUACGAGUGCACUCGUGGUGGCAGUCAACGUGUUUAACUACUGGAACA